UCUUGAUGGAAGCCUGGGGGCUAACCUCAAGUCAGAGACAAAUAACCAUACCCAGCCUGCUCCUUGUCCACAGAAGCCCUGAUAUAGUAAAUGCUUGCCAGUUUCCAUGACUUAAGCUCUAGAUGUCUGUUCUACCCAGCAGCAGAUGAUGAGUCCAACCCCCGAUGAGAUGUUUUCCCAGCUUUCCAGGCCUGUACAUUAAAAUGGUCCCUGCCUAGGACUUACUUAAAAAUAAUCAGAGAUUCUAGUUGAUGAGCCUGAAAUGAGUAGAAAAAUCUUUCUCUGUUAACAAUCAUCAUAGGUUUCUGAUGAAUCAGGAGGUAAAAAUGAGAAAGGCUGUCACAGAUCAAGCUGGAACUCCCAGACUUGAUCAUAAUCCAUUUUUCUCAAGGGAUCAAGGACAGACAGCAUGCUACCGAUGACCAGUGAGUAUUAUUUGGAGAGUGACUACCAAGGACUGUAGUACCAGGCCUCUUGCUGGAGGUUUGUUUUCUAAAGAAGGCUGCCCUGGACCUAUGUGUGCAUGGUGGCCUUACAUCAACAGGAGCAAAGCUCUAAGCACCGCCCCCCACCGCCCCCCAAACACACACACACACACACACACACACACACACACACACACACACACACACUCAGGAACCAUGGCUGUCUUCUGAUCACAGAAGAGUGGAAAUAUCACAGUGGCACUUCGAAAGCAGGCAACGGAACUACACCUGUGCCUGGUUCUCUGGAGAUCUGGCUCAAAGUGAGCCAAGCUCCAUGAAAGAUGCUUGUGGCCUUGAGACCCCAAGAUGAGGGUGUGCUGCUGAACUCAAUGCCCAUGUCACUCCCAGCCUGUGAGUGAGCCAUCCCACAGGGCCAGCCCACAAAGCCAGUGUCUGUUACGGCUCCAUGCAAAGGCUUAAAUGUCAUAAAAACUUUCCCGCCAGACUUUCCCACCAGCACCUCCGAGUUCCUCAUUUACAAAUCUAGUCAAGUUAAUGGUGGUUCUCAGUAAAUAAACGCUGGGAUCUUUGGUGUCCCAGCUAUAAGAAAGCCCCUGAGGCUGGAGAGAGAGAAUAAAGGCAGGGUUUCUGUGUUCAGCUUCACGGCUACAACCAAGGAGCAGAAAAAAAGCUACAGAAGGAAAGAUAAAGCUAGCUGUUCUAAACAAUUCACACCUUCGUUUCUCACGGACCGGCAGCUUCAUCUAUGACAUACGUAGGUCUAAGGUGGAAAGAAAUGAGAAUGGAUGGGAGAGACCGUGACACUAGAGCCAAAGGUUGAAGACAGACGGGAGCUAGCUGGCCUCUGAAUGCUGGGAAGCAAACCCUGGGGUGAGAAUUCUGAGCAGUUCCUGAGUGCAGAGUUCCAGAGACUAGAACUGAAGGCCUGAGGAGUUCUGGAGGGUCAUUCGUCUUCAGUGCAGUUUGGAAGGUUCAAAGUCAUGGAUGGAAAGCUUGCAUAAGCAGUAAGAGGACACAGACACUCAGCAGUAAGAGUUAAGGUCCUCUACAGGAUUGAAUCUUCCCAACCAAUGGCUCCACAAAUUCUUAAAAAUUAUUCCUAUCCCACAGAGAGAUCUAUCAACUCCAUUUUGAUUGGGCUUUUGAGAUUUUUCUGUUUCACUGAGGAAAGGUGCUCUCGGAAGCCAGAAGAAAGGCUGUCUGAUCCUGUGGAGCUGGGGUUAUACGUCACUAUGAGCUGCCUGACGUGAGUGUUGGGAACAGAACUCAGGUCCUCUGCAAGAGUAGCAAGCAUUCUUAAACAUGGAGCCUUCUCUCCAGUCCCUCAGCGAUUCUCCCAGGACAGAAAAAGAUUUCACCAAUUCCAGUCUACUAGGGUUGAGCAGGACCAGGCCUUUCAUCGUGUUUCCUUCUAUGCCCUGCACGUCUCCUCAGUGUGGUUGUAUUGUGUUCCUCAAAAUAUUGUGUACUCUAAUAAACUUAUCUGGGGUCAGAGAACAGAAAAGCGACUAGAUACUUAGGAUAGGCAGUGGUAGCACACGCCUUUAAUCCUAGCAUUCCAGAGGCAGAAAUCCAUGUGUUCAAGGAUACAGCCAAGCAUGGUGACUUGCGCCUUUAAUCCCAGAAAGCAUACCAGAGGUGUGAAGACCAGAAACUAGAAGCAUUUGGCUGGUUAAGCAUUUUGGCUGGUUAAGCUUUUAGGUUUUGAGCAGCACAGUUCAGAUGAGAGCCAUUCGGGUAUGAAGACUCAGAGGCUUCCAGUCUGUGGAAACAAGAUCAGCUGAGAAGUUGGCCAGGUGAGGUUAGCUGUGGCUUGUUCUGUCUCUCUGAUCUUCCAGUGUUCACCCCAAUAACUGGCCUCAGGUUUGAUUUUAUUAAUAAGAACUUUUAAGAUUCAUGCUAUACCUCAGGAAUACUUAUUUGAUGUCAUAAAAGUUCCCAAAAGGGUGUGCUGGGGAAGAACUGGCUUGUACCUUCCCUUUGCUUGUGCCCUCCCUCGCCCCCUUUAAAGUAUCCAGCACACUCAAGUCUACCAACUAUGCCUUACAUUAGCUUAUUUUUCUUGUCUUCUUCCUUUAGACCCAGACCUAAUGAGUUUGGAACAGCAGUUUCUCUCUACAAGGGCGAGAGGCCCUGAGUCAUUGCUGGAGGUAACCCAUAGCAUAUGUGACCACAGAAGCAUCCUGAGACUCAGAAUCUUCUCCAUGCUGUGGGAUGCUCUCUUGCACCAGUUUUUCAGGUGGCCUACACAGGAGCAGAUGGCCUAUCUUCAUGUGCAUUCCUCUACUGUGUGCCUGGAGACUCCUGGCAGUCAGACCUGGUUAGCCAAGAGGAGGUGACAUGAUGUGAGCCUUCCGUUUGUGGCGGGGCCGAGAUAGGAGCCCUUAAGAUCUGAGAUUCGGAUGUGCCGGCUCUCUUGGUUCCUGGAUCCUGGAUGCUGGAGGUAGACGGAGCAGAGUUCUCCAGAGAACACCGCUGGACUGCACCUCUCCCGGACCCUGUAACCUAUCCCUUCACUUGUGAGUUACCCCACAAAAUAAACUCCCUUUUAACUACGUGGAGUGGCCUUAAUACCUCCACAAAUAGAGCUCCCCACUUCAGCUAGGUGCUGGGCAGCACUGGGGUUCCAUGCAUGCAUGACUGUGCCCAGCCCUUCACAUGUGCUCUGGGAAUUUGAAGUUUCCCUGGCUUCCCUGGUUUUCACUCUUCUCUGAAGCCUCCUCCCCUGUUUGCAUGUGGCUGCUUAUGCCAACCUCUAUUGCAAAUGUCAUGGUUUUUCCUCCUCCAUGUCCCUCCUGUAUGAGGAUGCCAGGAGAGGGCACUGAGUCCUCCGGAAGUGGAGUGACAGGUGAUUGACCCACCAUUCAGGUACUGGAAACUGAACCGAGGUCCUCCACAAGAGCAUUAAGUGCUCUUAAACGGUGAGCCUUUUUUCUAGCCCCCUGAAUUCUUUUAUUGAUGAGACUAAGAACUACAGAAAGGACCCUCAGUUUCCAUGGUGACACUAGAGUGACUCCCUGAAGGUUCCUCUACCUCCAUAUAGUAUCCCACACUGGGGAUCAAACCUUCAACACAUGGCCUUUGAGAAACACUGAGCAUCACGUGACCCUAGGGCGUACCCUUCCCUUCUCAGCAUCCAUGCUGGAUCCUGGGCCUUUAAACUCUCAUUGAAACUCUGUUCUCUUGCUCUGGUAUCUGCUGUACCACUCCAACAACAGAACCCUCAGAAGGAUGAAGUGGGUCCCAGGACCAAAAAGUUGAAUAGGCUCUUCUGUCUUUUUAAUACCCAUGACCUCAUGCACAGCACUGUGGAAAAACUCAGCUCUGAGUACCCACAACAAGAAUGAUGCCUCCUCUUCCUUCAGCUGUAAAGCAGCACGGG